ACGCUAGCUACAGGCUUAACACAUGCAAGUCGAGGGGAAACGGCAUUGAGUGCUUGCACUCUUUGGACGUCGACCGGCGCACGGGUGAGUAACGCGUAUCCAACCUUCCCAUUACUGUGGGAUAACCUGCCGAAAGGCAGACUAAUACCGCAUAGUCUUCGAUGACGGCAUCAGAUUUGAAGUAAAGAUUUAUCGGUAAUGGAUGGGGAUGCGUCUGAUUAGCUUGUUGGCGGGGUAACGGCCCACCAAGGCAACGAUCAGUAGGGGUUCUGAGAGGAAGGUCCCCCACAUUGGAACUGAGACACGGUCCAAACUCCUACGGGAGGCAGCAGUGAGGAAUAUUGGUCAAUGGACGGAAGUCUGAACCAGCCAAGUAGCGUGCAGGAUGACGGCCCUAUGGGUUGUAAACUGCUUUUGUAUGGGGAUAAAGUUAGGGACGUGUCCCUAUUUGCAGGUACCAUACGAAUAAGGACCGGCUAAUUCCGUGCCAGCAGCCGCGGUAAUACGGAAGGUCCAGGCGCUAUCCGGAUUUAUUGGGUUUAAAGGGAGCGUAGGCUGGAGAUUAAGUGUGUUGUGAAAUGUAGACGCUCAACGUCUGAAUUGCAGCGCAUACUGGUUUCCUUGAGUACGCACAACGUUGGCGGAAUUCGUCGUGUAGCGGUGAAAUGCUUAGAUAUGACGAAGAACUCCGAUUGCGAAGGCAGCUGACGGGAGCGCAACUGACGCUUAAGCUCGAAGGUGCGGGUAUCAAACAGGAUUAGAUACCCUGGUAGUCCGCACAGUAAACGAUGGAUGCCCGCUGUUGGUACCUGGUAUCAGCGGCUAAGCGAAAGCAUUAAGCAUCCCACCUGGGGAGUACGCCGGCAACGGUGAAACUCAAAGGAAUUGACGGGGGCCCGCACAAGCGGAGGAACAUGUG
rnacentral:rRNA from 1 species